CCUACGAGUGGCAGCAGUAGGGAAUAUUGCUCAAUGGGCGAAACCCUGAAGCAGCCAAGCCGCGUGCGGGAUGAAGGUUUUAGGAUUGUAAACUCCUUUUGUUAGAGGAGAUUAUGACGGUAUCUAACGAAUAAGCACCGUCUAACUCCGUGCCAGCAGCCGCAGUAAUACGGAGGGUGCAAGCGUUACUCGGAAUCACUGGGCGUAAAGAGUGCGUAGGCGGGGUAAUAAGUCCGAUUUGAAAUCCUGUAGCGUAACUACAGAACUGCAUUUGAAACUUGUACUCUGGAGUGUGGGAGAGGUAGGUGGAAUUCGUGGUGUAGGGGUAAAAUCCGUAGAGAUCAAGAGGAAUACUCAUUGCGAAGGCGACCUGCUGGAACAUUACUGACGCUGAUGCACGAAAGCGUGGGGAGCAAACAGGAUUAGAUACCCGAGUAGUC
rnacentral:rRNA from 1 species